rnacentral:rRNA from 1 species
UACGAAGGGGGCUAGCGUUGUUCGGAAUUACUGGGCGUAAAGCGCACGUAGGCGGAUACUUAAGUCAGGGGUGAGAUCCCGGGGCUCAACCCCGGAACUGCCUUUGAUACUGGGUAUCUCGAGUCCGGAAGAGGUGAGUGGAAUUCCGAGUGUAGAGGUGAAAUUCGUAGAUAUUCGGAGGAACACCAGUGGCGAAGGCGGCUCACUGGUCCGGUACUGACGCUGAGGUGCGAAAGCGUGGGGAGCAAACAGG